GAUGAACGCUAGCUACAGGCUUAACACAUGCAAGUCGAGGGGAAACGAUAGAGAAAGCUUGCUUUUUCUAGGCGUCGACCGGCGCACGGGUGAGUAACGCGUAUCCAACCUGCCCAUCACUUGGGGAUAACCUUGCGAAAGUAAGACUAAUACCCAAUGAUAUCUCUAGAAGACAUCUGAAAGAGAUUAAAGAUUUAUCGGUGAUGGAUGGGGAUGCGUCUGAUUAGCUUGUUGGCGGGGUAACGGCCCACCAAGGCGACGAUCAGUAGGGGUUCUGAGAGGAAGGUCCCCCCACAUUGGAACUGAGACACGGUCCAAACUCCUACGGAAGGCAGCAGUGAGGAAUAUUGGUCAAUGGACGAGAGUCUGAACCAGCCAAGUAGCGUGCAGGAUGACGGCCCUAUGGGUUGUAAACUGCUUUUAUAAGGGAAUAAAGUGGGAGUCGUGACUCUUUUUGCAUGUACCUUAUGAAUAAGGACCGGCUAAUUCCGUGCCAGCAGCCG
rnacentral:rRNA from 1 species